GGGCAAAUUCCAGAGUGGCCAAAUGGGGCAGACUGUAAAUCUGCUGGCGUUCGCCUUCGGUGGUUCGAAUCCAUCUUUGCCCA
rnacentral:tRNA from 1 species